ACAGAAGCCUCGGCGGAAGAUUACUAAUGAGAGUGGCGAACGGGUGAGUAACGCGUGAGCAACCUGCCUAUGACAGUGGGAUAGCCUCGGGAAACCGGGAUUAAUACCGCAUAAAAUCGUAGAAACACAUGUUUUAACGGUCAAAGAUUUAUCGGUCAUAGAUGGGCUCGCGUCUGAUUAGCUAGUUGGUGAGAUAACAGCCCACCAAGGCGACGAUCAGUAGCCGGUCUGAGAGGAUGAACGGCCACAUUGGAACUGAGACACGGUCCAAACUCCUACGGGAGGCAGCAGUGGGGAAUAUUGCACAAUGGGGGAAACCCUGAUGCAGCGACGCCGCGUGAUUUAGAAGGCCUUCGGGUUGUAAAAAUCUUUUCUAUGGGAAGAAAAUGACAGUACCAUAGGAAUAAGGACCGGCUAAUUACGUGCCAGCAGCCGCGGUAAUACGUAAGGUCCGAGCGUUGUCCGGAAUCAUUGGGCGUAAAGGGUACGUAGGCGGGUAAGCAAGUUAGAAGUGAAAUCCUAUAGCUCAACUAUAGUAAGCUUUUAAAACUGCUCAUCUUGAGGUAUGGAAGGGAAAGUGGAAUUCCUAGUGUAGCGGUGAAAUGCGCAGAUAUUAGGAGGAAUACCGGUGGCGAAGGCGACUUUCUGGCCAUAACCUGACGCUGAGGUACGAAAGCGUGGGUAGCAAACAGGAUUAGAUACCCUGGUAGUCCACGCCGUAAACGAUGAGUGUUAGGUGCCUGGAGUAAAUCUGGGUGCCGCAGCUAACGCAUUAAACACUCCGCCUGGGGAGUACGCGCGCAAGCGUG
rnacentral:rRNA from 1 species